rnacentral:rRNA from 1 species
AAGUGGCGAACGGGUGCGUAACACGUGAGCAACCUGCCUCGGAGACCGGGAUAACUCGGGGAAACUCGGGCUAAUACCGGAUGCCCUCCCCGGACCGCAUGGUCUGGUGAGGAAAUGGUCUUCCGCUCCGAGAUGGGCUCGCGGCCUAUCAGCUUGUUGGUGGGGUAAUGGCCUACCAAGGCAACGACGGGUAGCUGGUCUGAGAGGAUGUCCAGCCACACUGGAACUGAGACACGGUCCAGACUCCUACGGGAGGCAGCAGUGGGGAAUCUUGCGCAAUGGGCGAAAGCCUGACGCAGCGACGCCGCGUGCGGGAUGAAGGCCCUCGGGUCGUAAACCGCUUUCAGCAGGGACGAUUGUGACGGUACCUGCAGAAGAAGCCCCGGCCAA